rnacentral:rRNA from 1 species
GAGUUUGAUCCUGGCUCAGAACGAACGCUGGCGGCAGGCUUAAUACAUGCAAGUCGAGCGGUCUUCUUCGGAAGGCAGCGGCGGACGGGUUAGUAACGCGUGGGAACGUGCCCUUUAGUACGGAAUAGCCAUUGGAAACGAUGAUUAAUACCGUAUACGCCCUAUGGGGGAAAGAUUUAUCGCUAAAGGAUCGGCCCGCGUUAGAUUAGGUAGUUGGUGGGGUAAUGGCCUACCAAGCCUACGAUCUAUAGCUGGUUUGAGAGGAUGAUCAGCAACACUGGGACUGAGACACGGCCCAGACUUCUACGGAAGGCAGCAGUAGGGAAUCUUGGACAAUGGGCGAAAGCCUGAUCCAGCCAUGCCGCGUGAGUGAUGAAGGCCCUAGGGUUGUAAAACUCUUUCGCCAGGGAAGAUAAUGACGGUACCUGGUAAAGAAACCCCGGCUAACUCCGUGCCAGCAGCCGCGGUAAUACGGAGGGGGCAAGCGUUGCUCGGAAUUACUGGGCGUAAAGCGAGCGUAGGCGGUAUAUCAAGUUGGUGGUGAAAGCCCGGAGCUCAACUCCGGAACUGCCAUCAAAACUGAUUUACUAGAGAUUGGUAGAGGAAAAUGGAAUUCCUAGUGUAGAGGUGAAAUUCGUAGAUAUUGGGAAGAACAUCGGUGGCGAAGGCGAAUUUCUGGGCCAAAUUCUGACGCUGAGGUUCGAAAGCGUGGGUAGCAAACAGGAUUAGAUACCCUGGUAGUCCACGCCGUAAACGAUGAGUGCUAGACGUUGGGAAUUUAUUUUUCAGUGUCGUAGUUAACGCAUUAAGCACUCCGCCUGGGGAGUACGGUCGCAAGAUUAAAACUCAAAGGAAUUGACGGGGGCCCGCACAAGCGGUGGAGCAUGUGGUUUAAUUCGACGCAACGCGAAGAACCUUACCAGCUCUUGACAUUGCUAAGUCGCGAGUUUUAGAGAUAAAACUCUUCAGUUUGGCUGGACUUAGUACAGGUGCUGCAUGGCUGUCGUCAGCUCGUGUCGUGAGAUGUUGGGUUAAGUCCCGCAACGAGCGCAACCCUUGUCCUUAGUUGCCAGUGAUUAGGUCGGGCACUCUAGGGAGACUGCCGGUGAUAAACCGGAGGAAGGCGGGGAUGACGUCAAGUCCUCAUGGCCCUUACGGGCUGGGCUACACACGUGCUACAAUGGCGUCUACAACGGGUCGCGAUGGGGCAACCUAUAGCUAAUCCCCAAAAGACGUCUCAGUUCGGAUUGUACUCUGCAACUCGAGUACAUGAAGUUGGAAUCGCUAGUAAUCGUGGAUCAGAACGCCGCGGUGAAUACGUUCCCGGGCCUUGCACACAC